UACAGAGGGGGCGAGCGUUGUUCGGAAUUACUGGGCGUAAAGGGCGCGUAGGCGGCCCGCUAAGUCGAACGUGAAAUCCCCAGGCUCAACCUGGGAACUGCGUCCGAUACUGGCAGGCUUGAAUCCGGGAGAGGGAUGUGGAAUUCCAGGUGUAGCGGUGAAAUGCGUAGAUAUCUGGAGGAACACCGGUGGCGAAGGCGGCAUCCUGGACCGGUAUUGACGCUGAGGCGCGGAAAGCUAGGGGAGCAAACGGG
rnacentral:rRNA from 1 species